AUUCGGUAUAAGGGUAGCCACUCUGUUUUCCGCAAUGAUGGUUCCUCUUCUACUUCCGGUGCUUUCUAUUUGCACAGUGUUUGGAGAUCGUUUUACAUUUUUAUGAAAUCCAGCAUUGAAAUGCCAAUCGCUCGCAAGCUUUCAACACUGUCGAGGAUAUCUGAUAAACCUGAUUACCACUGUGAAACAUAUUUUUCAAGGUUAAAUACCACGGUGCCCUGUUGAAACGAAAUUGCAGUAGGACAAUGGAUAAUUAAUCUUCCUUAUUAGAGGACAAUUUUCCCCCAAGGAUCCGGAAAUACGCUCGCACGUAGAAGGUUGUAUAAAACACGUAUAAGUUACGCGCUAAUAUAGACUGCUAGCACAUGGCGGUAUAGGUAGAAAAGCGGUGGCGAAGUAAAAUAAUCAAUGAAGAGGCGAACGGGAUCAGGAGGGAGAAAGCGAAAGAGCUUUAUACGUUCGCGCCCACGCGGACCUACGGGCUCGUUAUCCCGUGUUGUUUUUUAUUCUUCCUGCCGUAUACAUUACCGAGACCUUGCUAGGAAUUGUGCCGAAUCCGCCUAUUUUAUCAUUAGAAACGGGAAAAGGUAAUGGAGCAUAGAACCAUGAUCAAAUAUUCUCUCAGACACAUCGGACCCAAUUAAUGGAGCAUACGUCUCCUAAUUUAAUAUUCCAUUAAUUAUGCAAACCUUUCUUAAGGUUUACGUUGUUCUAACUGGUUCAAUAUUUCAGGUGAUAUGCAACUGCAAUGAAAAUCACGUAGAAGCUGACGUCGUAUGAUUCCUCUUUCUCUAUCAACGAACGGCUCGCGUGCUUCUCAAUGAACCGACCUUUAAUGCACGCGCACGGAAUACAAGACAGUAGUUCAUUGAUUUUAGAGAGGUUGCGAGGUGUAACGACGCCGGCCAGAGAAGUUUAACGUUCUCACCGUCAGACUGAAGAACGCGAUUCUCCUCGUUCUGGUCUAACGAACUGGAUAGCUUGCAAGUCUGCGCUUUUUUCCACGAAUUCACUCUCUGCGCCCCGUCGUCCAGCCUACGCGACCAUUUAAUUACUUUCAUCGACGGAAGUCGGCAUUUACGACGGCUGCUCGUCGCCAAUUCAUACUAAUUCGGUGAACGAACCAGGGUGAUAAGUUCGAAAACUUGGAUGAAAGACAAAGAACAAGAUCAGAACGUACUAUUAUGAAAUAUCACUGGAUUGAAAUAUCAGUGAAAUAGAGGCUAAUCGCGCCGAAAUGAAGAACAAUAGAAUUAGAGUAAUCAAAUUUCUUAACUGAAUUGAAGCUCGUCUGACAAUUUGAAAUUGUUAGCUUUGGAAGUUAGUAAAUUUCCAUUAUCGAAAAGGAAUGAACGAAAUGUUCAAACACGAUGCUUGUAACAAGGCAGAAAUUGCAACGUAACGCGUAUCUGGCUUUUAAAGAUAAACGAUAGUCGUCUGUUCAAGCUUUACGAUCUCCAGAACCGAUUGUAAAAGUUGAAUGCCUGCAUUUCGUGCUGCUUAUCAUAUUGUUUGCCAUAUCUUUGUUCAGAUUAUAUAGAAAGAAAAAAAUGAAAAUUAUCGCGAUAAUUCUUCGAGGUGAAUGGAAAAUAAUCAAUGAGAGAAUCAUUGAUUAGAUACUCAGGCUGUAUUCGAAGCAAAGCUAUAUGAGAUUAAAAAAUAAAAUACCUAGAUGUCCGAUAAAAUUGCUCGGAUUCGCUUAAUUAGCCAGCUCAGACGGUCUAUUUUCUUUGACGAUCGUGCUAAAAUAUUCAUUGUGCUAUUAGCUGAAAGAGAUAUAUUUACCCGUACACCAAUGUUAGCCGUCUAAGUCUUUCCAGGAUUAAUAAUAAAUCAUGGAAUCACUUUUAGACGGGACUAAAAUUCUCUCUUUAAACGUGUAUCAUUGAUUUUCAAAGUACUUCUUUUGGGUUCGAUAAAUUAUUCACUUUCUAUUGUAAUAGCAAGUUUGUUUUUGUAAAUUAAAUGGGAAAUGCUAUAUUCGUUCGAAUCGAAUCAAUAAGAAAUUAUACUUAUCGCUUGAAGGUAAUUUAUUAGCUAGGGAUAUUCUAUUUUACCGACUGCUGUAGAUGGAGCUUAUUGUCGAGUUUUCAUUUUGCAACCGACUAAGCUGACUUUGAUUUUAAAUUUUGAUAAAAAAUCUUUUCUUUUCUGAAAAGUAUUAACUAUUACUUACAUGAUUAGGUAACUGGAGAAUGAGGAGUAUUAAAAUUGGAAAGUAGAUUUGAUAAAAA